UACGUAGGGGGCAAGCGUUGUCCGGAAUCAUUGGGCGUAAAGAGCGUGUAGGCGGUUCAGUAAGUCUGCUGUGAAAGUCCAAGGCUCAACCUUGGGAUGCCGGUGGAUACUGCUGAGCUAGAGUACGGAAGAGGCGAGUGGAAUUCCAGGUGUAGCGGUGAAAUGCGUAGAUAUCUGGAGGAACACCGGUGGCGAAGGCGGGUCUCUGGGCCGAUACUGACGCUGAGGAGCGAAAGCGUGGGAGCGAACAGG
rnacentral:rRNA from 1 species